UACGUAGGGAGCAAGCGUUGUCCGGAAUCAUUGGGCGUAAAGCGCGCGUAGGUGGCCCGGUAAGUCCGCUCUGAAAGUCACAGGCUCAACCUGUGAAAGCGGUGGAUACUGCCGGCGUAGAGUCCGGAAGAGGCGAGUGGAAUUCCGUGGUGUAGCGGUGAAAUGCGCAGAUAUCAGGAAGAACACCAGUGGCGAAGGCGGCUCACUGGUCCGGUACGACGCUG
rnacentral:rRNA from 1 species